GAAUAUUGCACAAUGGGCGCAAGCCUGAUGCAGCAACGCCGCGUGCGCGACGAAGGCCUUCGGGUCGUAAACCGCUUUCAGGAGGGAAGAAGCGUAAGUGACGGUACCUCCAGAAGAAGCCCCGGCCAACUACGUGCCAGCAGCCGCGGUAAUACGUAGGGGGCGAGCGUUGUCCGGAAUUAUUGGGCGUAAAGAGCUCGUAGGCGGUCCGUUAAGUCGGAAGUGAAAUCUCAAGGCUCAACCUUGAAACUGCUUUCGAUACUGGCGGACUUGAGGCAGGUAGGGGAAGGUGGAAUUCCUGGUGUAGCGGUGAAAUGCGCAGAUAUCAGGAGGAACACCGGUGGCGAAGGCGGCUUACUGGACUGUAACUGACACUGAGGCUCGAAAGCGUGGGGAGCAAACAGG
rnacentral:rRNA from 1 species